CGGCUGCACGUUCCUUUAUAAAAUGAGGUAGCUCUAGUUCGAAAUGAGAACCAGGCCGUGAAAAACCCUAGCGCUCUCUCUCCGAAAAAGGAAAUCCGUCCACAAUCGAGAGGGAGGCCGGAGAGGAACCCUUUUUUCAUUUCUCGGCGUCAAAGAUGAAUCCUUUCGACGUCCGCUACGCGGAUCCGAGCUCCUACAGGGAGAGGCGAAGCGAUUUAAUGCGGCCGCCGCAGUUGAAUGGCCCGCUGAUGCCGCCGUCCGCCGUCGGCGUGGGCCUUGGCGUAUCCCCUAUGGCUGGCCGCGGCGGCUCCACCCCCUUCCUGCCCCCUGCCGGCCCGGAUUUUGCCGCCGGAAGAGGAGGCGGCAUCGGCGCUCCCAUGGGCGGUGGCAGUUUCUCUACUGGUUUUACCUCGUCCCAAUUUACAUCUGGUGGAGGCGGCGGUGACUUUGGAGGCCGUGGUGGUGGGGGGAGAGGAUUCGAUGCUGGGAGAGGAGGCCGGGGAGGAGCAGGAGGAGGUAGAUUCUCUGGAGGUGACCGUGGUGGCAGGUCUGGAAGGGGCCGAGGAUUUGAUUCGGCGAGGACAGGCGGAAGUGGAGAUGGCGGUCGGGGAAGGGGAAGUGGGAGAGGCCAAGAUUUUGGUGGCCGUGGGGUUGGAAGGGGGAGAGGAUUCGAAGGUGGGCGUGGGGGUGGUGGUGCUAGGGGAUUCGAAGGUGGGCGUGGGGGUGGUGGUGGGAGGGGAUUCGAAGGUGGGCGUGGGAGGGGAUUCGAUGGCGGACGUGGGGGUGGUCGGUUUGGCGGCAGUGGUGCUAGAGACUUUGGGAAGCCAAGAGAUGACCUUGAUAAGCUUUCUCUUCCGAAACAGGAUUUUCAUGACCUCAUCCCUUUCGAGAAGAACUUCUAUGUGGAGAGCCCUGCGGUGCAGGCCAUGUCCGAGCAGGAUGCCAUGCUUUAUCGGAAGGGCCGGGAGAUAACGGUUGAAGGUCGUGAUGUUCCCAAGCCUAUUAGGUUCUUUCAUGAGGCCAACUUCCCGAGCAAUAUUUUGCAGGCAAUAGCUAAAUGUGGUUUCAUUGAACCAACACCAAUUCAAGCUCAGGGGUGGCCAAUGGCUUUAAAGGGAAGAGAUUUAAUUGGUAUCGCAGAGACUGGUUCAGGAAAGACAUUAGCAUAUCUGCUGCCUGCAUUGGUGCAUGUUAGUGCACAGCCUCGAUUGGCUCAUGGAGAAGGUCCAAUUGUUUUGGUCCUAGCACCUACAAGAGAACUGGCUGUUCAGAUUCAAGAAGAAGCCGUGAAGUUUGGAUCACAUUCAAAUGUCAGAAGCACAUGCAUCUAUGGUGGAGCACCCAAAGGACCACAGAUUCGUGAUCUUAAAAGAGGAGUUGAAAUUGUCAUUGCAACACCUGGUCGGCUAAUUGAUAUGUUGGAAGCUUGCCAUACAAACCUGCGUAGAGUAACAUACCUUGUUCUGGAUGAGGCAGAUCGCAUGCUGGACAUGGGAUUUGAGCCUCAGAUAAGAAAAAUCGUGUCCCAAAUUCGCCCUGACAGGCAGACAUUAUAUUGGAGUGCCACAUGGCCAAGAGAAGUUGAAUCUUUGGCAAGACAGUUUUUACAUAAUCCCUACAAGAUAAGGAUUGGUUCACCUGAUCUGAAAGCCAAUCAAUCAAUAAACCAAAUUGUAGAAGUCAUGUCAGAGAAUGAAAAAUACUCCAGGCUGGUAAAACUCUUGGGUGAAUUAAUGGAUGGGAGCCGGAUCUUGGUAUUUCUUGAGACAAAGAAGGGAUGUGAUCAGGUGACUCGGCAGCUCAGGAUGGAUGGAUGGCCUGCCCUAUCUAUUCAUGGAGAUAAAGCCCAAGCUGAAAGAGACUGGGUUCUGGCAGAGUUUAAAAGUGGAAAUAGUCCUAUUAUGACUGCCACUGAUGUAGCUGCACGUGGUCUUGGUAGGACCACUUUGUUUUAAGGCCUCUUAAAAUCUCAAUUGUUUACUUCAAGUUCUCAAGGAUGACGAGUCAGCGGGCUGUUGGCCAGAUCUGAUAACUGAACUGAACUUGUGGUUUGGUGUGUGACAAGGUGCCAUCAUGUCAAAGAUGUGAAAGAUAUAAAAUGUGUGGUCAAUUAUGAUUUCCCAACGAGCCUUGAGGAUUAUGUUCACAGGAUUGGACGAACUGGUCGUGCAGGUGCCAAGGGCACUGCCUUCACCUUUUUCACUCAUGCAAAUGCAAGGUUUGCUAGGGAUCUUAUUAAGAUCCUGCAGGAAGCUGGCCAGAGCGUAACUCCAGCAUUGGCAUCCAUGGCUAGAUCAGCUGGUGGAGGUUCUGGAGGGAAUUUCCGAUCAAGGGGCCGAGGCUAUGGCAAUCGUGCACUUAUGUCUGGGUCCAACUCAGUUCCACUUGGAGGGAGAAGGCCUUGGUAACGGCUUCUCAAUCAGUUGGACGGAGAUUGAUUGGUGCUUCUUGACAAUGGGCAUCCGAGAUGAUUGUUUUGAGGGAUUAAUGGAGCAAAGCACCAAAACAAACUAUAAGCUGAGAUGACUGCUUUACGAUCAUUUCAUGAAAGAAUGGUUUUGCUGCUUGAGGGUAUAGUUCACCAUUUGCAAAUGUUCUGAUUUCCAAGUCCCAGAGGGGAUCUCUCAUGCCCAGGCUGGUCUGAUACUUUCAUGAGCAGAGGGCCUGCUCUUGAUUAGUAAAUUUGUUGUUAUAUGUUUUCCCUUUCUUUUUCUUCAGGUAUGCAACUAUUGCUUUCAAAAGCCUUCAUACAACCAAUUUAGGCAGCAAUUCUUGCUUAGGUAGCUGCGGACAUUGUUUAAGCUUAUGUUGUAUUCUGGAAGAUAAUUUUUGUAAAACAAAAUAAGCGAUGACUUCUGGCAAUAUCAAUACUUUAGUAAAAGAUUCGAAAUGUUUCAGAGCCUGUUUA